UACGUAGGUGGCAAGCGUUGUCCGGAUUUACUGGGCGUAAAGCGCACGCAGGCGGCCGUGCACGUGGGGUGUGAAAGCGCUCGGCUUAACUGAGCGAGGCCAUCCCAUACGGCGCGGCUCGAGCGAUGCAGAGGUCCGCGGAAUUGCCGGUGUAGUGGUGAAAUGCGUAGAGAUCGGCAGGAACACCCAGGGGGAAGCCAGCGGACUGGGCAUCGGCUGACGCUCAGGUGCGACAGCGUGGGGAGCGAACCGG
rnacentral:rRNA from 1 species